rnacentral:rRNA from 1 species
CAAUAAGCGGAGGAAAAGAAACUAACAAGGAUUCCCCUAGUAACUGCGAGUGAAGCGGGAAAAGCUCAAAUUUAAAAUCUGUCAGUCUUUGGCUGUCCGAGUUGUAAUCUAGAGAAGUGUUAUCCGCGCUGGACCGUGUACAAGUCUCCUGGAAUGGAGCGUCAUAGAGGGUGAGAAUCCCGUCUUUGACACGGACUGCCAGGGCUUUGUGAUGCGCUCUCAAAGAGUCGAGUUGUUUGGGAAUGCAGCUCAAAAUGGGUGGUAAAUUCCAUCUAAAGCUAAAUAUUGGCGAGAGACCGAUAGCGAACAAGUACCGUGAGGGAAAGAUGAAAAGAACUUUGGAAAGAGAGUUAAACAGUACGUGAAAUUGCUGAAAGGGAAACGCUUGAAGUCAGUCGCGUUGUUCAGGGAUCAGCCUUGCUUUUGCUUGGUGUACUUUCUGGUCAACGGGUCAGCAUCAAUUUUGACCGUUGGAAAAAGGUCAGGGGAAUGUGGCAUCUUUAGAUGUGUUAUAGCCCUUGGUUGUAUACAAUGGUUGGGAUUGAGGAACUCAGCACGCCGCAAGGCCGAGUAAUUUUACUACGUACGUGCUUAGGAUGCUGGCAUAAUGGCUUUAAUCGACCCGUCUUGAAACACGGACCAAGGAGUCUAACAUGCCUGCGAGUGUUUGGGUGGAAAACCCGAGCGCGUAAUGAAAGUGAAAGUUGAGAUCCCUGUCGUGGGGAGCAUCGACGCCCGGACCAGACCUUUUGUGACGGUUCCGCGGUAGAGCAUGUAUGUUGGGACCCGAAAGAUGGUGAACUAUGCCUGAAUAGGGUGAAGCCAGAGGAAACUCUGGUGGAGGCUCGUAGCGAUUCUGACGUGCAAAUCGAUCGUCAAAUUUGGGUAUAGGGGCGAAAGACUAAUCGAACCAUCUAGUAGCUGGUUCC